ACGGAGGGCCGGGUCUGCUGCGGGGGCAUUGCACCCCUGUGGUCUCGCUGUCCUGUUACACCCCCAGCAGAGUAUGUUUCUUGACUGCCUCACAGAGGAUGUGGUCAGUGACAUCCUGCAAAGGCACUUCUGCCCAGCUGAGAAACAUCGAACACAACGUUCACUUUCUCCACUGUAUAAUGAGGAACCCCUAUGACAUCUGCCCUCACUGUUCGGGGUCAGUACACACAGGUAACGCAGAGCACACACCCCCUGUGCAUUCACAGUGAGUCAGCCAUCAGCUCCUGAAUAAUACAAACUGACCCGCCUGCUGUACAUCUUGCUUUGUGCGUCAGCUGACACUUAGCAAGGUGACCAGAUCCUUAGGAAGAUGCAAGAGCAGGGCUACUCUGUGAGGGUGGACAAACCCUCAUGGAGUGAAGGUCAUCCUCAAGGAGUUAAGAGCCAAUGCCUGGCAGCUCCAAGAUGAACCUAGUGCUGGCCAAGGCUGAGCCCAUCAGUGAUGGUGGUAGCGCCUCUGGGAUAACAUGUUCGAGAAGGGAAAAAAAUUCUGCAAAAACAGCAGCUGGAAGAGAGGAGUGAGAAUAUGUGUGAGGAACAACUCUGCUGACACCAAGGUCAGUGGAGGAGGGGGAGGAGAUGCUCCAGGCACUGGAGGAGAGAUUCCCCUGCAGCCUAUGGUGCAGCCCAUGGUGAGGCAGCUGUCCUGCUGCAGCCCAUGGAGGUCCAUGGUGGAGCGGAGAUCCACCUGCAGCCUGUGGAGGACCCCACAUAAGAGCAGCUGGAUGCCCAAAGGAAAUUGUGACUCCAUGGGAAGCCCACACUAGAGCAGGCUUCUGGCAGAACCUGUGAAAAGAGAAGCCCAUGCUGGAGCAUAUUUUCUGGUAGGACUUGUGACCGUGUGGGCGACCCACACUGGAGCAGUCUGUUCCUGAAGGACUUGCACCCUGUGGAAGUGUCCCAUGCUGAAGCAGUUUGUGAAGAACUGCAGCCUAUGGGAAGGAAUUACAAUAGAGAAGUUUGUGGAGAACUGUCUCCCAUAGGAGGGACCCCACAGUGGAGCAGGGGAGGAGUGUGAGGAGACAUUCACCUGAAGAAGGAGAAAAGAGCAGCAGAGACAGUGUGUGAUGAACUGACCACAAACCCCCAUUCCCCAUCUCCCUGCACCACUGGAGGGAAGGAAGUAGAUAAAAUUGCGAGAGAAGUUGAGCCUGGGAAGAAGGCAGAGGUGGGGGGAAGGUGUUUUUAGACUUGUUCUUGUAUCACAUUAUCCUACUCUGAUUUGAUUGGCAAUAAAUUAAAUUAAUUUCUCCAAGUUAAGUCUGCUUUGCCCAUGACAGUAACUGGGGAAUGAUCUCUCCCUGUCCUUAUCUUGACUCACAAGCCUUUCACCAUAUUUUUCUCUCCCUGUCCAGUUGAGGAUGGGAGUGAUAGCGUAACUCGAUGGGCACCUGGCAUCCAGGCAAGGUCAACCCACCACACAGCUGUAUCAAUAAACCCAACCAAAGGUUGAGCCUUAGACUAGAAUUCACAAGACCAAGGUAGGCUUGGGGAAAACUAUUUAUUUUGUGUUACCUAGUCUGCUCCAUUUUUUUCUGCCAUUGGUAAUGAAAUUUCUGCUUUGUCCCACUUCUGGUGCAAGAUGCUCUCAGCUGGAAUCUGGUGAACAAGGGACAGAAAAGAAUCAAAAAUGAUCUAGCAAGACUGUGCUAAUAAAUGGCUGUCCUUGACUGACGUCAUCAACAGUUAGAAUAAAUUUUAAAAAGAG